rnacentral:misc_RNA from 1 species
GAUGAAGAACGUAGCGAAAUGCGAUACGUAAUGUGAAUUGCAGAAUUCAGUGAACCAUCGAAUCUUUGAACGCAUAUUGCGCUCUCUGGUAUUCCGGAGAGCAUGCUUGUUUGAGUAUCAGUAAACACCUCAACUUCCAUAUCUUUUUUGAAAUGGGAGUUGGACUUGAGUGAUCCCAACGCUUUUCCUCACCGAAAAGUGGCGGGUUACUUGAAAUGCAGGUGCAGCUGGACUUUUCUCUGAGCUAUAAGCAUAUCUAUUUAGUCUGCCUAAAAAACAGAUUAUUACCUUUGCUGCAGCUAACAUAAAGGAGAUUAGUUCUUGUGCUGACUGAUGCAGGAUUCACAAAGACAGGCUUCGGCCGACUUUGUAAACUCGAUCUCAAAUCAAGUAAGACUACCCGCUGAACUUAAGCAUAUCAAUAAGCGGAGGA